rnacentral:rRNA from 1 species
GGGAGCUUGCUCCCGGAUGUUAGCGGCGGACGGGUGAGUAACACGUGGGUUUCCUGCCUGUAAGACUGGGAUAACUCCGGGAAACCGGAGCUAAUACCGGAUAGUUCCUUGAACCGCAUGGUUCAAGGAUGAAAGACGGUUUCGGCUGUCACUUACAGAUGGACCCGCGGCGCAUUAGCUAGUUGGUGAGGUAACGGCUCACCAAGGCGACGAUGCGUAGCCGACCUGAGAGGGUGAUCGGCCACACUGGGACUGAGACACGGCCCAGACUCCUACGGGAGGCAGCAGUAGGGAAUCUUCCGCAAUGGACGAAAGUCUGACGGAGCAACGCCGCGUGAGUGAUGAAGGUUUUCGGAUCGUAAAGCUCUGUUGUUAGGGAAGAACAAGUGCAAGAGUAACUGCUUGCACCUUGACGGUACCUAACCAGAAAGCCACGGCUAACUACGUGCCAGCAGCCGCGGUAAUACGUAGGUGGCAAGCGUUGUCCGGAAUUAUUGGGCGUAAAGGGCUCGCAGGCGGUUUCUUAAGUCUGAUGUGAAAGCCCCGGGCUCAACCGGGGAGGGUCAUUGGAAACUGGGAAACUUGAGUGCAGAAGAGGAGAGUGGAAUUCCACGUGUAGCGGUGAAAUGCGUAGAGAUGUGGAGGAACACCAGUGGCGAAGGCGACUCUCUGGUCUGUAACUGACGCUGAGGAGCGAAAGCGUGGGGAGCGAACAGGAUUAGAUACCCUGGUAGUCCACGCCGUAACGAUGAGUGCUAAGUGUUAGGGGGUUUCCGCCCCUUAGUGCUGCAGCUAACGCAUUAAGCACUCCGCCUGGGGAGUACGGUCGCAAGACUGAAACUCAAAGGAAUUGACGGGGGCCCGCACAAGCGGUGGAGCAUGUGGUUUAAUUCGAAGCAACGCGAGAACCUUACCAGGUCUUGACAUCCUCUGACAACUCCUAGAGAUAGGGCUUUCCCUUUCGGGGACAGAGUGACAGUGGUGCAUGGCUUGUCGUCAGCUCGUGUCGUGAGAUGUUGGGGUUAAGUCCCGCAACGAGCGCACCCUGAUCUAGUGCCAGCAUUCAGCUGGC